CUACGGAGGGUGCGAGCGUUAAUCGGAAUUACUGGGCGUAAAGCGUACGUAGGCGGUUGGUUAAGUUAGAUGUGAAAGCCCCGGGCUUAACCUGGGAACUGCAUUUAAAACUGGCGAACUAGAGUUGAGCAGAGGGGAGUGGAAUUUCAGGUGUAGCGGUGAAAUGCGUAGAGAUCUGAAGGAACACCAGUGGCGAAGGCGACUACCUGGACUCGAACUGACGCUGAGGUACGAAAGCGUGGGUAGCAAACGGGAUUAGAAACCCUAGUAGUCC
rnacentral:rRNA from 1 species